rnacentral:rRNA from 1 species
ACGGCUCAGUAACACGUGGAUAACCUAACCUUAGGACUGGAAUAACCCCGGGAAACUGGGGACAAUGCCAGAUAUGUGGGGCUGCCUGGAAUGGUACCUCAUUGAAAUGCUCCGGCGCCUAAGGAUGGAUCUGCGGCAGAUUAGGUAGUUGGCGGGGUAAAUGCCCACCAAGCCAGUAAUCUGUACGGGUUGUGAGAGCAAGAGCCCGGAGAUGGAACCUGAGACAAGGUUCCAGGCCCUACGGGGCACAGCAGGCGCGAAACCUCCGCAAUGCGAGCAAUCGCGACGGGGGAAACCCAAGUACCACUCUUAACGGGGUGGUUUUUCUGAAGUGUAAAAAGCUUCAGGAAUAAGAGCUGGGCAAGACCGGUGCCAGCCGCCGCGGUAACACCGGCGGCUCGAGUGGUAACCGUUAUUAUUGGGUCUAAAGGGUCUGUAGCCGGCCGGAUAAGUCUCUUGGGAAAUCUGGCAGCUUAACUGUCAGGCUUUCAGGGGAUACUGUCUGGCUCGAGGCCGGGGGAGGUGAGAGGUACUUCAGGGGUAGGGGUGAAAUCUUGUAAUCCUUGAAGGACCACCAGUGGCGAAGGCGUCUCACCAGAACGGACCUGACGGCAAGGGACGAAAGCUAGGGGCACGAACCGGAUUAGAUACCCGGGUAGUCCUAGCCGUAAACGAUACUCGCUAGGUGUCGGCCACGGUGCGACCGUUGUCGGUGCCGUAGGGAAGCCGUGAAGCGAGCCACCUGGGAAGUACGGCCGCAAGGCUGAAACUUAAAGGAAUUGGCGGGGGG